CUGCUGAAACAAGUAUCAUGAUAUAAAGAUGUUUCUCAUACUAUGGUGUCUGGCCUGUUUAUCACAUCCCAGGGAUCAUGGCUCAUUUUGAAUACAUCAAAAUACUUAAAGAGUUCAUGUUUCCUUAUGCUGAAGAGGAAAUGCCCUUGAAACG